GAUGAACGCUGGCGGCGUGCUUAACACAUGCAAGUCGAACGGUGAAGCCGGAGCUUGCUCUGCUGGCUCAGUGGCGAACGGGUGAGUAACACGUGAGCAAUCUGCCCCUGACUCUGGGAUAAGCGCUGGAAACGGCGCCUAAUACUGGAUACGAGCUGCGAAGGCAUCUUCAGCAGCUGGAAAGAAUUUCGGUCAGGGAUGAGCUCGCGGCCUAUCAGCUUGUUGGUGAGGUAAUGGCACACCAAGGCGUCGACGGGUAGCCGGCCUGAGAGGGUGACCGGCCACAAUGGGACUGAGACACGGCCCAGACUCGUACGGGAGGCAGCAGUGGGGAAUAUUGCACAAUGGGCGAAAGCCUGAUGCAGCAACGCCGCGUGAGGGACGACGGCCUUCGGGUUGUAAACCUCUUUUAGCAGGGAAGAAGCGAAAGUGACGGUACCUGCAGAAAAAGCGCCGGCUAACUACGUG
rnacentral:rRNA from 1 species